UCUAAGAUACCCAAGAUUCGGCUGGGAGUCGCCAGACUCGUCUGUCAGGUCGACAACAGACACCGAAGACGAGGAAGAAGCAAAUAUCUCUUGUUAAGAAUCAUAAAAGAAACACGCAAAAUCAGCGGAUCUUGCUGAUAUAUGACAAAAUCUAGAUUUGGAAAAAAUAGAGAGAGCGAAAUGGGAAGAAUUUAUUUAUUGAGAUUGGAUUUAUAAUGAGAAAGAAAACAAUAGUAAAAUUUAAAGAGACAAAAAAAGAAAACAAUGGAUAAUAACGAGGGGAGAGAGGAGGCAAGAGACUUCUCCAGGGAGACAAUGGAGAGAGUGGUUUUUUUUUCUUUUCUUUUCCGGGUCAAUUUGUGCCGGGUCAAUUUCCUGACCGAGUUUUAUUACCAAUGCAAGCUGGCAAGGUUUUGUAAUUGCAAAAUCCAUCCGGGGACGUAAAUAUAAUUUACCAAGGGCAAAUUUUAUAAUAUUACCCGCACCAAAUUAUUUUCAUGUUCCCGGCUUCAAAAUCAAAACCAGUGGUUCUGCGCGCGAUUACCGCGGCAGCCCCAGAGCGAUUUUAGAGUUAACUACCAACCGGAUUUUUCACCUUCCUGGCUUCCAUUGACGCUGAUCUGAUUGAUCAGCGAAUCCGUUACUUUGCUUCACUUUGUUAUUGUUUUCGAUUGCAUAACUUUGGAUGGAUAGAAGAAGUAGAGGAAUUUUAAGAAGCAAUCUACUUGAUAAUUGGCGAGGAUCCAAAUCUCGGAUUGGGAAUUUUGGAGCUUGGGGUUCUUGGAUCAUUUUUGGAAAGAAUUCAAUCUUGCUUGCAUGCAUGAUAUUUUAGAAUUGUAAGAUGAUAGAGCGGGUUUGAAUCUAUGAUAAGCUAUAUGGAGUAUUCAGUUCUUGUACCAUUUUUGGGAAGACCAUCAGAUCAAUAAUAGAUUAAGAUUUACUUCUGCUCAUGUACGCGUUGCAGUACUUGUUUUGGAGUGUUACCUAUUAAAUUCAAAGAUCGCAAGCUAUUGAGUUGUAGCUCAACUAGUAUUAGUUUUCUCCUUCCCCUCAAAAGUUCUUGAGUUUUAACCUCUCUUUUGUAACAAAAAAAUGAAAAAAUGAAAAAUGAAAAAUGAAAAGAAAACUCAAGAGGAGUCUGUUUGGAGA